GCUCAUUCACAUGGCUCUUGGUAGGAGACCUCAGGUCCUUGCCAUGCAGAACAUUCCAUAGGGCUACUGGAGUGUCCUCAUGACAUGGCAGAUAGUUUUCCCCAGGAUGAGUGAUCCAAGAAAGAAUAAGGUAGAAGUCAUAAUACCUAUUAUGACAUAUUCUCAGAAGUCACAAUCUGCCAUUUAGGCAUUAUCCUAUUGGUAUACAGGUCUUCCCUAUUUAAUGUAGACGGAGAUUACAUAAGAACAUGAAUACCAGAAAACAGGGAGUAUUGAGGGUCAUCUUGGAGGUUGACCACCAUGGAAUGUAACUAAGGAAGGAUCCAGAAUGUAUGGAGGACCGCACAAAUCUAUGGAAAGCAUUCAUCACCUCCUACCACCUCCCUCUAGCUCACCAAAGAAGACUGUCCAGAAGGCAGACUUUGUGCCAUCAGUCAUCCAGAGCAAUCCAGGCCUUCAGUUAUAUACACUCCCCAAGGAAAGACGUGUAUGGAAAUAUCAUUGUUUCUUUAGGGGUCCUGACAUCCUCUGCUUGGGACCCCAGAUGCUAGUUCCUGCUUGUCAAUACAAUUCUCAUAUUGUUCCUGCCAUAAAUGAACAUAAGAGCUGAGGAAGCUCAGAGUCCAAGAAGGAAUGACUCCAUGACCUGAGGAAGAUGGCCAGGGAGUGGAACACCCAUGAUGUCCUUGAAAUCCUCUACCUGCCCUAAAUAGGACUCUUCCCAGUGUCUUAUAUCUACUGCCAUAAGUAAUCACAGCAACGCAACCAUCUCAGCAUGAACAUCCCCACGUACAGAUGAGAACCCCAGCUGACAGCAGUCAGCCAACUUGCCUAAGGAGGAAGAACAGAAGGUUCCUCUCAAGUUCAAAUUCCCCUACAUCAUUGCAUGUUCUAGACAGAAAUAAUCCAACCUUUCAGGUGAAGGUAGAAAACGGACUAGCCCACAAGCAUCUCUACUGGCCUUAUUCACCCCUACAAGCCUGCUAGCUUAUAGAGCACAAGAACCAAAUCAAUAGAGCCAAUAUGUCACUGCCAGCAGGGCACGAGUGGCUACCAGCCUUGGGGAACAUGACGUGCUACUAAGCUGAACUAAUCACUCCUUGGCAUUUCAGGAGCAGUUGGGUUAGCAGACCACAGCACAUGCAUAAUGAAAGACAAUAAUUCCUCCAGAAGGGGAGAGUAAGAACAACAUAAUGAGUUGGCCCUUAGAAGAGGGCAGUUACUAUUUACACAGGUCAACCUAAAGCCAUAUCAGUGAUUUUUAGAGGCCAAAAAUCUGCCGGAGGAUUUGGCAGAGAGGAGAUUGGGCUGCAUCCUUUAUUGCAGCAAAAGGAUUGAAUCUGGGGGAUGGGACCCUCCAUCAGCAGUGUCACCCAUGAAGAAUUUAACAUGAUAAACUGGAGAAGGCAGAGAGGUCAAUUAAAGACCUAAUCAUGCUCCCUCUAGCCAAAGAAGUAUGAACUUUUACGAGAGAUGAUUUAUUAACCUGCGUACAUGUGAAUCACCCAGAAAUAUUGUUAAAAUAUACAUUCUUGGGUCUCAGCUUGAGAUUCUCAUUCAGCAGCCCUUCAGAGAAGAACAAAAAAAAAUCCAUUUUUAACUAGGUUUCCAGGUGAUUCAGAGGCAGGGAGUUCAUUAAAACAGAACCACCAUUGGAGAAAUGCUGCCCCAGACCUCUACAACAAAUCAGAAUCUCCCAUUUUCCAAGCACCCUUCAUCCCCAGGGUGUGCAAAGAAGGUAGAAGGAACUCAAAGUGUUCUCCAAGAGACCAAGGCUGGGGUUAUCAUGGCUCUGAUCUAUGUGUAACCCUCUCAGAUAUCUUCCCUACCCGAUGUCUGAUUUCAGAGGUGGCAUCCUUUCCACUCACCCCCCUCAGAUAUGCCAGGAAUCUUGAACACUAAGCAAAGAAGUCAAAGGCAGGGGGCUGGGACCCAGAAAACCAGCCCACUAGUUCUCUUGCAAUUGGUCACAUUCACCAAGGCCUCUCUCUCUCUGCCCACCCUCAUCAAACACAGCACCAACAGAGAGAAACAUGAGAAGAAUGAUUUCUUUUUCAAGUGGUCCUAAUGCUGCAGGAUGAAUCAGGGAUAAGCAGAAUAUUUGCAUGGUGGGGGGCGGGAGGGAAGGCUAAGAAUCACUGAUCAUCUAGUUCCUGGGAAAGAGUGAGGAUUAAUCUGAAAGGUCUACAUCCUGGUCAAAAUCCAGAAAUGAUUGGAUCUGCAGAAAGAACUGGAGAGAGAUCCACAAAGUGCCUUGUACCUCACCAACUUCGGGAGCCCCCAGCACAUAAAGUAGUGGGGUGCCAGGUGGGGAAACUUCACUCGCCCAAACAGCUUCCCUGUGGCUGAGAGCAAGGGCCUGUCCCUACGGAGCUGCGGUGCUGUGACUUGCAUCCAUGGCGAAGCCUGUUGUGUAGACGCACACGCACCCUCUUACCUCUGCUCUUCAAGAGGAACCACUCACAGGCUGCCCGCACAGACAGCGUUGGGGACCUGCUCUGUCUGGCUCUUAGAGCUGCCUCUUGUCUCCGCACACAGCUCUGUCGAGGUUCUUGGUCCAUGCCAGAGUCGAACAGUCACCCUCCACUACUGCCCCAACCGUCACCCCCAUUCCCAGGUCGAGAUGAUUCUGAAAGCUCAGCCUCCCUCCUUGACUGGAUCUCAAACGGAGAGAUGGCGAAGAACGUAAAUUCAGAACCAAGGACAGCGGCACAACCGGUGGUGGGAGAGGAGGGGCAGAACCGGCCUUGGCUUCUGUCCUUAGAAACUGAAAAGUCUCAGGUCGCGCAAAUCCAGACUUGCCAAGAAUAACCCUUCUCUCUCCCUGUAGGUCAGAAACUCUGGCCGCGCGCCCUGGGGUCCCGGACUUGGGUGCGGGGCAGAAAGUGCCGUCCCGAGAUCGUCGGGAGCCGGCCGCCCUGCGAAGCUCCGGCUCCACAAGGGUGGCUCACCGCGCUCCGCGGGAGGCUGCCCCCGCACCGCCCGCUAAUGACCGGAGCGAGGAUUCCCGCCCGGGCCGUGCAAGGGAUGCCGAGAGGGAGUCAGAGGGGAUGACAGCCGCUGUGUUCCUGUCCCCCCUGGGCUAGCAGCCCGAUGGAGAGUCGGUGGAGAGCCUGCCCGCAGUCGGGUCGGUCCCAGGCAGACGGCGCCAGAGUGGCCUGACAAACUUCUAGUCCCAGUCGCGCCGCCCUCCGAGCUCCCCCUUCCUCUCCCUGCGACCCGCCUCGGCCCCCGGCCGCCCGUCGCUCCAGCGUGCGCGCGCUUACCUUCAAGCCAUAGGGCGCCCGGGGGCAGAGACGGCGCCGGCUGCUCGAGGCUUCCGGCUCCCGCCGCAUCCAAGCGCGGCCGCCCCUCCGGCAGCCGUCCGGGCCGCCGCUCUCCUCGGCGGGUCCCUGGCUCCCGGCCCCGCCGCGCCGUUCAGAGCCCCGGCGGGCAGCCGCUUGGCCGGCUCCGGCCCGCGGGGAGCAGUGGACCGGCCGCGGCGGGGCGGGGCGGGGCCGGGCGCGGGCGGGCGUGCAGCACAGGGACAAGGCGCGGAGGCGGCGCGGUGCGCGCGGGAGGCGGCCGGUUCCGGCACUGAGACUGGACAGCUUCACGGCGCGGGAGCACCGGAGCGAGGGAGGGAGGCGGGGGGCGGGGCCGCCCUGGCCCACGGGGCGCCCCUGGGCCCCGCCCCUGGGCCAGGCCCCGCCCCGCCACUCUGCGCGCCGGUGUGCGGACUCAGUGCGACCCAGCCUGCUGUGAGCAGCGAGCCGGCAGAGGUUGCAGUCAGCCCUGGCUUUAGCGCAGGUGGUUGCUGAGGCGGGAACUGCGCGAUCGACUGCCCAUUGCGGUCUCCCCAUACCCCCAAAGUGAAUGAUACCCUGUACAUUCAGGGCCGCCGGUGACCAGGCAUCUUCAGUGUCUGCUUAUUUCCCUCUGAGAAGUCAGAGGAUAAAGGUUGGAGGAGGCACAGCCCAUCCAGGGAGUCGCGUAAGGAGAAGCCGUCCAGGUUCCGUUUACAGACCUCUGGUCUUGGAAGCCCUGUAGUCAGUUCUGUUGCUUGACCCUUUCAGGGGAAAGCCUGCUUGGAGUUGACCUGAAGAGGAAAUUCAAAAGGGGGCCUCCGGUUCCGCUUGCCCUUGAAUACAAACAGAGGUGGAGUCUUCAGCAAUUAAGUGUUUGACUGUCCUCCGUUUGCCAGGCUCUGUGUCAGAUUCCAGGGUCUCCAAGAGUAAUCAAACCUGGCCCCUGUUGUCACAUCCUGCCAGUGCAGUGGAGACCUCUAGGAAACACCUGUAACAUAGCAUAGCACUACAGCACCGGUGGCUUAACCAGGUGCGUGGAGCACAAACAAGGGAGACUUCAUGGGGACUGGCACUGAAGAAGCAAUACCCGUUCCAGCCAGGGAGAAGGCCACACAGCACACCACAGGAGGAACAGCAUGGGUACAGAACUGACUGUGCAUAGCAUAGAGUCCAUUGCUGCUGGAGCCAAGCCACUCUGGGCACACAAAGAUUAAGUCUGUAUGCCUCCAAUGACCCACAUGAUCACAGAAGGACCUGCGCACUCAUCUAACCCCCCCCCCCCACACACACACACCCACCUACAUCGCUCUAGGAGGAACUGAGUGAGACUCAAUGAAUUGGAGUGCCCUUGCAGAUUCCACCACAGAGAACCAGGGCUGGGCCAGUCCCCCACCUGAGAGGUGCACACCAGCACGUUUCUCAAAUACAACCAUCUCUGGAGAAAACUUCAGCUAGAGAAGCACCGGAGGAAAUGCAGACACCCAGUGUUCCAAUUCUAGAUUUCUUAACCUAUUUCACAGAUGAAAACUGAGCCCUGUUUCAAGUUCCUAUAAUUUUUUCUUCUCUCAUCCUCCCCUCUUUGGUCAUGUAGAUCCUAGUCCAUUUGCAAAUGACUCUGAGGACAAUAAGGUGGCAGUCCUCUGGGUCAGAGGGGGUGUGGGGCAAAAAGAAAAUAAACACAUCCUUUUUAUACUUUAUUAUUUCUCUCGAAGUGCUGAAAGCCUUAGAGAGGUGCAGAAGUCUUGGCCACUGGUAUUGGUGAGAGAGCCAUAGUCCCAUAUCAGCGUGAUCUAGUGAGGGGAGGUCAGGGUAUCUGAGGAAG